GCAAGUCGAGCGAGCAUUUGUUUGAUGGAGACUUCGGUUGAAGACAAACAAAGAAAAGCGGCUUACGGGUGAGUAACCCGUGGGCAACCUGCCCUAUACAAAGGGAUAGCCACUGGAAACGGUGAUUAAUACCUUAUAAGACUACAAAGACACAUGUUUUAGUAGUCAAAGGUCCGGCGGUAUAGGAUGGGCCCGCGUUUGAUUAGCUAGUUGGUGAGGUAACGGCUCACCAAGGCGACGAUCAAUAGCCGACCUGAGAGGGUGAUC
rnacentral:rRNA from 1 species